rnacentral:rRNA from 1 species
UACGUAGGGGGCAAGCGUUGUCCGGAUUUAUUGGGCGUAAAGAGCGUGUAGGCGGUUUUACAGGUCCGCUGUGAAAACUCGAGGCUCAACCUCGAGACGCCGGUGGAAACCAUCAGACUAGAGUCCGGAAGAGGAGAAUGGAAUUCCCGGUGUAGCAGUGAAAUGCGCAGAUAUCAGGAGGAACACCGGUGGCGAAGGCGGGUCUCUGGGCCGAUACUGACGCUGAGGAGCGAAAGCGUGGGGAGCGAACAGG